GGGCCUAUAGCUCAGUUGGUUAGAGCGCUCGACUCAUAAUCGAUCGGUCGCAGGUUCAAGUCCUGCUGGGCCCA
rnacentral:tRNA from 1 species